rnacentral:rRNA from 1 species
GUCUGGAGCCAUCAGCUGCGGCAAUUUCAAUCAAGAAAUAUCUUUGUUCUUUGUUACGCUGUAUGUAAAGUCAUAUUUCAUUUCAACACUGAGAUGCCAAACAGAAAAAGCUUCAUCGGUCUCGCUUGGGUAUAGGUCAAGUUCUUUUCAACUGAAAAGAAUAUCGUGCUCUGUAACAGCUUAAUCCUUAACGAAUUCGAAGCUAGAUGGUCCAUGCAAGCAAUGAUGAUUGAAUUUGG